CGAUUGUUUAUGCAUUAUAUGUCCAACCAUGGACUGCUAUUAGAAGUCGUGUACAGGGCUAACCCACCCCAGCACUUGCAGCCUAUCUUUGCUUUUGGUAGUAAUGGACUAAAAGCGCUGGCUUAAUCCACCCAUAGUUCUCACAGCCUGUCCUUGCUGUUUAAGUUUGGGUGACUUAGGAUGGCUAAUGCAGAAGCGAAUGUUUGUUAUCCAAGGAGCUGCCAGGGCUGUGCUUUGGGUACUGGAAAGAGCUUCUGUGUUUGUCAAACUUAAAAAGAAAAAAACAAUAAAAACCUGGUUUAACAGGCACUAUAGUUCCAUGAUAGCACCAUAAUAACCACUACUAGGAGUUGUACAAUCAGCAUGCCAAACACAGAAACUGUGCAACUUUUAUUUUUUAUUUUUUCUGAACAGAUCCAUUAAACUGUUCAGUCCUAUGUCCAUGUGUCAUAUGACUAAAACCUAAAAUGUAUCAGGCCCUAAUAUAAUACCAAUGGGCAAUGUUUAUUAUGGUUAAUUAGUUAUUUCCUGACUGUGCAUGGACAUUUAGUAAUAUUGAAAUAAUGUUUAUCACGAUUUAUUUAUUUACUUACCAAAGUGUUCUGUUAAGAAUAUAGAAGAUAACCAUUGGAACAUCUGGCUUAUUUCUAAUUUAUUAAUAUCACCGGUCACACUAGAAUAUUUGUAUUUUCCCUAAAAAAUAUAAGCAGAGGACAAAUAGAUAUGUGAUUGUGCUCAGUAAAUAACAAAGGAGUAAUUUGAAUAUAUUACUCUGUCUUCCAAGACAAGACCAUCGGCUACAAUUAUUACACUUUAACUUGUUUUCUAGCAGACCUGUCGCUUGGAG